rnacentral:lncRNA from 10 species
GCCCACUAUUUCCGAGCCCGGCCCGCCUGAUUGUCCCGCGCGGGAGCCGCAGGGAGACUGGUCGGCAGGGGGCGACAAAGGGCAACUUGAGCCGCCGGGACGCGGUUGUGGAGGCCCCAGGGCUGCCGGGCAGUAGCGAUUUCCGGGACGGCCGGGCGGCCAAGUUCGGUGACCUUUCUAUGGCGUGUGCGGUCGCCGAGGCCGCCCCGCGUCUGACAUCCCCGGGGCAGUGGGCUCUCCUCGUGUGGCCUGGCGCGUGAUUGCUGGCCCACCCCACUCUGCCAGGCCUCAGUUCCUAGUCUCUGAGGGUCUGGGCUUCUGCAGGGACGUAGGAGUUACAAAAUGCCCCCUCCGCCCAUGUCCCCCCAUUUUUUGAGGUCUUGACCUCUACCUCCCAGAGCUCACGCUGCCUCCUCCAGGAAGCUUGUCCCGGAGCCCUGGGACGAGACUCGAGCCCCACCCCUGACCCCCGUGCUCUCGGGCCCACAAACAGGUCCCUGGGCCUUGACGCAUGGCCAUCUGGGGACCCCUGUCCCAGAACGCAGAGCCUGGGCAGAGCCCCCUCCCCAGCCAUGGCCCCAGGUUCGUUGGGGGUCCUGAGGCUGGUAAAGGCCGCCUUUCGUCAGGCUGAGACCGUGAACUUGGCACGGGCCAUCACCACCGACAGCUGACUAGUAGGAGAUGCAAAGGGAGAGGACCCUGCCGAGGCCUGAGGUCCCCGUGAGGCGCGGGGGCUGGGGAGCCGAGAAGCCGACCUUGAUGGAAGGCCGACCUUGAUUAAUUAAGGUUUUGCUGUAAGAACAGAUGCUACUCACGCGCCAUCUCCCUGUUCCGGCCCCUCCCACCACGCCCUGGAGGCAUUUCGCUGUGUCUGUCCCAUCUUCCACACUGCCGCUGCGGGCAUGGUCCCACCGUAGGGACUCGGUGCCAGGUUGUGCACAUCUAAACUUCAUGCCUGGUGACUCCAUUUCCAAGGCUGAGGGGUGGUGGCAAUGGGGUGCCCUGGGGUUGUGGAGGUGGAGUUUUGCUCACCUCUGGGAUUCAGGAAGGUGCCCUGGGCAUGAGGCCAAGGAGAGAAGUCAGACGUGAGCCGCUGAACUGGGGACAGACUUGACUUUCUUCUUCUUGUUUUGUGUUUUGCAGAGACUGGGUCUUGCUGUGUUGCUCAGGCUGCUAGGCUGGCCUUGAACCCCUGAGCUCAAGCGAUAGCCUCCCAAAUUGCUAGGAUUACAGGCCUGAGCCACCCUACCUGGCCCUCCUUGCCAUUUUUUAAAAAUUUAAUUUUUGUGGGUACAUACUAGGUGUAUAUAUUUACGGUGUACAUGAGAUUACAUGAGAUAUCUUGAUACAGGCAUGCAAUGCAUAAUAACCACAUCAGGGUACCCAACA